rnacentral:misc_RNA from 1 species
GAACUGCGAUAAGUAAUGUGAAUUGCAGAAUUCAGUGAAUCAUCGAGUCUUUGAACGCACAUUGCGCCCCCUGGCAUUCCGGGGGGCAUGCCUGUCCGAGCGUCAUUGCUGCCCUUCAAGCCCGGCUUGUGUGUUGGGUCGUCGUCCCCCCCGGGGGACGGGCCCGAAAGGCAGCGGCGGCACCGCGUCCGGUCCUCGAGCGUAUGGGGCUUUGUCACCCGCUCGAUAAGGACCGGCCGGGCGCCAGCCGGCGUCUCCAACCUUUUUUUCUCAGGUUGACCUCGGAUCAGGUAGGGAUACCCGCUGAACUUAAGC